rnacentral:rRNA from 1 species
GACGAACGCUGGCGGCGUGCUUAACACAUGCAAGUCGAACGAUGAAGCCGGAGCUUGCUCUGGUGAAUUAGUGGCGAACGGGUGAGUAACACGUGAGUAACCUGCCCUUGACUCUGGGAUAACUGCGGGAAACUGUAGCUAAUACCGGAUACGACCCUCGGAGGCAUCUCCUGGGGGUGGAAAGAAUUUCGGUCAAGGAUGGACUCGCGGCCUAUCAGCUAGUUGGUGAGGUAACGGCUCACCAAGGCGACGACGGGUAGCCGGCCUGAGAGGGUGACCGGCCACACUGGGACUGAGACACGGCCCAGACUCCUACGGGAGGCAGCAGUGGGGAAUAUUGCACAAUGGGCGCAAGCCUGAUGCAGCAACGCCGCGUGUGGGAUGACGGCCUUCGGGUUGUAAACCUCUUUUAGCAGGGAAGAAGCGAAAGUGACGGUACCUGCAGAAAAAGCACCGGCCAACUACGUGCCAGCCGCCGCCGUAA